rnacentral:lncRNA from 1 species
UCGAUCAUAAUAAAGCAGGCAUAGUAUAUCACAAUGGGUAAAUGUAAUGUGAAACUGGAGCAACCUGUUUCAUAAAUUACAAAAGGGAUGUAUAUAUGUUUUCCUUUUUCUAUAUUACCGUCUGAUGUUGCCACACACUAUUGAGAGUGGAUAGCUGGUACAAAAAGCAACCGCAGUAUUUUGAAACUCAAUUUAAUUAUC